AUUGAACGCUGGCGGAAUGCUUUACACAUGCAAGUCGAACGGUAGAGGGGGCAACCCUUGAGAGUGGCGAACGGGUGAGUAAUAUAUCGGAACGUGCCCAGUCGUGGGGGAUAACGUAGCGAAAGCUACGCUAAUACCGCAUACGAUCUAUGGAUGAAAGCGGGGGAUCGCAAGACCUCGCGCGAUUGGAGCGGCCGAUAUCAGAUUAGGUAGUUGGUGAGGUAAAGGCUCGCCAAGCCGACGAUCUGUAGCUGGUCUGAGAGGACGACCAGCCACACUGGGACUGAGACACGGCCCAGACUCCUACGGGAGGCAGCAGUGGGGAAUUUUGGACAAUGGGCGCAAGCCUGAUCCAGCAAUGCCGCGUGCAGGAUGAAGGCCUUCGGGUUGUAAACUGCUUUUGUACGGAACGAAACGGUGAGCUCUAAUACAGUUUGCUAAUGACGGUACCAUAAGAAUAAGCACCGGCUAACUACGUG
rnacentral:rRNA from 1 species